GAGUUUGAUCAUGGCUCAGAUUGAACGCUGGCGGCAGGCCUAACACAUGCAAGUCGAACGGUAACAGGAAGCAGCUUGCUGCUUCGCUGACGAGUGGCGGACGGGUGAGUAAUGUCUGGGAAGCUGCCUGAUGGAGGGGGAUAACUACUGGAAACGGUAGCUAAUACCGCAUAAUGUCGCAAGACCAAAGAGGGGGACCUUCGGGCCUCUUGCCAUCGGAUGUGCCCAGAUGGGAUUAGCUUGUUGGUGGGGUAACGGCUCACCAAGGCGACGAUCCCUAGCUGGUCUGAGAGGAUGGCCAGCCACACUGGAACUGAGACGCGGUCCAGACUCCUACGGGAGGCAGCAGUGGGGAAUAUUGCACAAUGGGCGCAAGCCUGAUGCAGCCAUGCCGCGUGUAUGAAGAAGGCCUUCGGGUUGUAAAGUACUUUCAGCGGGGAGGAAGGGAGUAAAGUUAAUACCUUUGCUCAUUGACGUUACCCGCAGAAGAAGCACCGGCUAACUCCGUGCCAGCAGCCGCGGUAAUACGGAGGGUGCAAGCGUUAAUCGGAAUUACUGGGCGUAAAGCGCACGCAGGCGGUUUGUUAAGUCAGAUGUGAAAUCCCCGGGCUCAACCUGGGAACUGCAUCUGAUACUGGCAAGCUUGAGUCUCGUAGAGGGGGGUAGAAUUCCAGGUGUAGCGGUGAAAUGCGUAGAGAUCUGGAGGAAUACCGGUGGCGAAGGCGGCCCCCUGGACGAAGACUGACGCUCAGGUGCGAAAGCGUGGGGAGCAAACAGGAUUAGAUACCCUGGUAGUCCACGCCGUAAACGAUGUCGACUUGGAGGUUGUGCCCUUGAGGCGUGGCUUCCGGAGCUAACGCGUUAAGUCGACCGCCUGGGGAGUACGGCCGCAAGGUUAAAACUCAAAUGAAUUGACGGGGGCCCGCACAAGCGGUGGAGCAUGUGGUUUAAUUCGAUGCAACGCGAAGAACCUUACCUGGUCUUGACAUCCACGGAAGUUUUCAGAGAUGAGAAUGUGCCUUCGGGAACCGUGAGACAGGUGCUGCAUGGCUGUCGUCAGCUCGUGUUGUGAAAUGUUGGGUUAAGUCCCGCAACGAGCGCAACCCUUAUCCUUUGUUGCCAGCGGUCCGGCCGGGAACUCAAAGGAGACUGCCAGUGAUAAACUGGAGGAAGGUGGGGAUGACGUCAAGUCAUCAUGGCCCUUACGACCAGGGCUACACACGUGCUACAAUGGCGCAUACAAAGAGAAGCGACCUCGCGAGAGCAAGCGGACCUCAUAAAGUGCGUCGUAGUCCGGAUUGGAGUCUGCAACUCGACUCCAUGAAGUCGGAAUCGCUAGUAAUCGUGGAUCAGAAUGCAACGGUGAAUACGUUCCCGGGCCUUGUACACACCGCCCGUCACACCAU
rnacentral:rRNA from 1 species